rnacentral:rRNA from 1 species
UACGGAGGAUGCAAGCGUUAUCCGGAAUGAUUGGGCGUAAAGGGUCCGCAGGUGGCAGUGUAAGUCUGCUGUCAAAGAAUGAGGCUUAACCUCAUCAAGGCAGUGGAAACUACACAGCUAGAGUACGGUCGGGGUAGUAGGAAUUCCUGGUGUAGCGGUGAAAUGCGUAGAGAUCAGGAAGAACACCGGUGGCGAAAGCGUUCUGCUAGACCUGUACUGACACUGAGGGACGAAAGCUAGGGGAGCGAAUGGG